rnacentral:rRNA from 1 species
AACGAACGCUGGCGGCAGGCCUAACACAUGCAAGUCGAGCGAGGACUUCGGUCCUAGCGGCGGACGGGUGAGUAACGCGUGGGAACGUGCCCUUUGCUUCGGAAUAGCCCUGGGAAACUGGGAGUAAUACCGGAUGAGCCCUUUGGGGGUAAGAUUUAUCGGCGAAGGAUCGGCCCGCGUUGGAUUAGGUAGUUGGUGGGGUAAUGGCCUACCAAGCCGACGAUCCAUAGCUGGUUUGAGAGGAUGAUCAGCCACACUGGGACUGAGACACGGCCCAGACUCCUACGGGAGGCAGCAGUGGGGAAUCUUAGACAAUGGGGGAAACCCUGAUCUAGCCAUGCCGCGUGAGCGAUGAAGGCCUUAGGGUUGUAAAGCUCUUUCAGCUGGGAAGAUAAUGACGGUACCAGCAGAAGAAGCCCCGGCUAACUCCGUG